AAGGAUCAUUAUCAAUGCAAAGUUUCUCUCCUUUUUGGGGGAUUCUUUGAUACAAUUUCUCUUCUUUUUCCUUUCAGGAAAUUGAAGGAAUCCACUGUGAUCUGUUUUCGAGCUUUUUCUCAAUUUUUGAGAUUAAGCUACAACCCGUUUUUUUUCUUUGGAAAACAAACGGGUGUGGGGCCUUUUUAGGACUCGCAAUUCAAUAUACUUUAUGAAAUUCUUGAUUGAUUCUUAAUUGAAACAAAAAAACAACUUUCAACAAUGGAUCUCUCGGCUUAC
rnacentral:misc_RNA from 1 species